rnacentral:tRNA from 1 species
GGUAAGGUGACUCAGUGGUAGAGUGCUUGCCUUGCAUGCAUGAGGCCCUGGGUUUGAUUCCUCAGCACCA